GAUCCUGGCUCAGGAUGAACGCUGGCGGCGUGCUUAACACAUGCAAGUCGAACGAAGCACUUUAUUCGAUUUCCUUCGGGACUGAUUAUUUUGUGACUGAGUGGCGGACGGGUGAGUAACGCGUGGGUAACCUGCCUUGUACAGGGGGAUAACAGUUGGAAACGGCUGCUAAUACCGCAUAAGCGCACGGCAUCGCAUGAUGCAGUGUGAAAAACUCCGGUGGUAUAAGAUGGACCCGCGUUGG
rnacentral:rRNA from 1 species